rnacentral:rRNA from 1 species
UACGUAGGGUCCGAGCGUUGUCCGGAAUUACUGGGCGUAAAGAGCUCGUAGGUGGUUUGUCGCGUUGUUCGUGAAAACUCACAGCUCAACUGUGGGCGUGCGGGCGAUACGGGCAGACUGGAGUACUGCAGGGGAGACUGGAAUUCCUGGUGUAGCGGUGGAAAUGCGCAGAUAUCAGGAGGAACACCGGUGGCGAAGGCGGGUCUCUGGGCAACAACUGACGCUGGAGGAGCGAAAGCCGUGGGGAGCGAACAGG